rnacentral:lncRNA from 1 species
ACAGAGAAACUGGCAGAAAAUGAAUCCAUGGAGAUUUUGACAAGACCCCUCUAAGCAAGAUCUAAAGACAACAUCAGAUGGAGUUGUCUGUGGAUUAUGUACGUAUUGUCAGAGACAUUCAUGCAAAAUAAUGGGUUUGGUGGUGACAGGGUUACAGCCACAACAAGAAAGUGAGAUACAGUUAGUGGAAUUCUCAAGUGCUCUCUUAGGAUGAAUAAACCUUAAGAAAGAACACCCUGCUUUUGUAACAGAUGAAGAAAGGCUAUGGAAGAGACAGAUUCUGGAGGAUGCAGCAUUCAAGGUUCUAUCUUGGAAGCAGAGACUGUGCCCUCACCAGAUGCUGAACCUGCUGAGCACCCUGAUCUUCCACUUCACCUUCAUCAGAACUGGACGCGCAUGAAAUUUGGUGCCGUGACUCGGAUCGGCGGACCUCCCUUAGGAGAUCAAUCCCCUGUCCUCCUG